rnacentral:rRNA from 1 species
CCUACGGGAGGCAGCAGUGAGGAAUAUUGGUCAAUGGACGAGAGUCUGAACCAGCCAAGUAGCGUGAAGGAUGACUGCCCUAUGGGUUGUAAACUUCUUUUAUAUGGGAAUAAAAUGUUCCACGUGUGGGAUUUUGUAUGUACCAUAUGAAUAAGGAUCGGCUAACUCCGUGCCAGCAGCCGCGGUAAUACGGAGGAUCCGAGCGUUAUCCGGAUUUAUUGGGUUUAAAGGGAGCGUAGGUGGAUUGUUAAGUCAGUUGUGAAAGUUGGCGGCUCAACCGUAAAAUUGCAGUUGAAACUGGCAGUCUUGAGUACAGUAGAGGUGGGCGGAAUUCGUGGUGUAGCGGUGAAAUGCUUAGAUAUCACGAAGAACUCCGAUUGCGAAGGCAGUUCACUGGACUGCAACUGACGCUGAGGCUCGAAAGUGUGGGUAUCAAACAGGAUUAGAUACCCUUGUAGUC